rnacentral:miRNA from 1 species
CAUUUAGCAAUUUCCUUUGCUUU